CAGCCCUCAACUUCCUCACAGAGGGCUGUAUUUUGACUGCUCUCAAUCAAUUCAAAGAAGGGUUGGAGACCUUCGGGAUUCUAGCUCUUUUGAGGAUCCACCAUGAGGAGCUCAAGGGGGUCUUCAUGGACACACCUGAGCCGCUGCUGGCCUCCCGGUUGGAGUCCACAUUCAUGACGUCCUACCUGUCUGAGCCGGGCUCCAAUCGGAGGAGGAAGGAGGCCAGGACCCUUAUAUAUUGGAGGGACUGGCUGAUCGAGGUGGAGGAUGGAGAUACGAGUCUCACCCUGGGGGCGGUUCUGGCGUUUGCCAUGGGCCUCAAAAGGAUUCCUGCUGUG